rnacentral:rRNA from 1 species
CAUGCUGUAAACGUUGGGCACUAGGUGUGGGGAUCGUUGUGGUUUCUGCGCCGUAGCUAACGCAUUAAGUGUCCCGCCUGGGGAGUACGGCCGCAAGGCUAAAACUCAAAGGAAUUGACGGGGACCCGCACAAGCGGCGGAGCAUGCGGAUUAAUUCGAUGCAACGCGAAGAACCUUACCAGGGCUUGACAUCCUCGGACGACACUAGAGAUAGUGUUUUCUCUUCGGAGACUGAGAGACAGGUGG